rnacentral:lncRNA from 1 species
AUGGCUGAAAAUCAUUCAAAGUCGAAACUUAAACGAAAGAAAUCCUCUGUAGAAGAUCUCCAGCCGGAACUCUCCACCCGGGGCCCGCUGAACAAGAGUUCAAUGCUGUCCAGGGACCUGAGCGCAGAGGAGCCUGGGAGGAGGUCAGUGGUUGCUGCAGCAGUGUGGUGGAACAGACAGCAGCUGCCUGCUGUGGAGAGUCUGUGGGCAUUGACACUGAAGGCUGCUCUGGAGAACCAGCACUGGGACAUGGUUCCUGAUCUUCCACAUCCAUCCACAGUGAGACCCACAGCACUAAAGUUAGAUGACCUGCGGUGGUGUGACCUCAGUGAAGAGGUUCUUCCUUUCCCCAUACCCUCUCCACCUCCUCGGAGGACUUCGUGGAGUCCAGAUCCUCUCAGGCUCAGCUCCUACCAGCAGGACCUUUCAGUAAAGAUCAAACCUGUACCAGACUCACCUGACAGACGGCCGUCCUUUCACAGCAAGCAGGGUCAUAAUGGCAAGACAACAUCCCUUCAAGCCCUCGCAGAAAAAUCACAGCCACCCUUCCACAGCUGGGAGGGGGAGGCAUCACCAGUGGGACCCUCAGGUGUUGGGGGUGGACAGCAAGACAAAGAGACUGGACCAGUCAACAGACAGCUUCUCACAGACCAGGUGACGAUGUCUGACCGGCGAGUUCCUCUGCAGAAGAAGUUUAAAAAUAAAGAGGAGAUGCAGAGGAGUGUGAGAGGAGAUAGAGAAGCAGGAACAGGAGGAGGAGGAGGGCUGAAGAGCUGCCCGAUGUGCCUGCAGGAGUACCCUGUUGGGUUCACCCAGAUGGACUGUGACGGCCACCUGGCCCAGUGUCUGUCGGAGGUCAAUGUGGAUGUGACCUGGUGA